CAGGGUUAGUCGGUUCCUAAGGCGAGGCUGAAAAGCGUAGUCGAUGGGAAACAGGUUAAUAUUCCUGUACUUCUGGUUACUGCGAUGGAGGGACGGAGAAGGCUAGGCCAGCUUGGCGUUGGUUGUCCAAGUUUAAGGUGGUAGGCUGAAAUCUUAGGUAAAUCCGGGGUUUCAAGGCCGAGAGCUGAUGACGAGUCGUCUUUUAGAUGACGAAGUGGUUGAUGCCAUGCUUCCAAGAAAAGCUUCUAAGCUUCA
rnacentral:rRNA from 1 species